CCUCCUCCUUCCCCACCUCCUCUAGAGCCGGACCUAAGCAAUGUAAAAGAAACUCUGCAGAGUUUGAUGGAUUUGCAGUUCCAUCAGCUGAAUGACCGCCAAAGAGACCUCCGCAGCUGCCAGGAAUGUUUGCAAAACCUCAAGGCACUGAGGGGACAGCUCUGGAGACUGCGGAGCAGACUGGCAAGGGUGGAAGCCACUAUGGGGAUCCUGGUUCCUCCAAGGGAGCUGGAUGUUGAUGAGGAAAAAGAGGAAGACAAAAACCAGACAGUGCUUCAUACAUAGGUAGCAAUAAAAUGCUGCAUAUUUAUUUUAAAAAUAUUAAACAUUUGUUUUAAUAGGAUAGGAUGUAGAGAUAAAACAGCAAUAUAACAUGCAUAUUUAUUGCUUAAAAAUUAAAAAGUUGAUUUUAAAGAAAAUAAAGUUGUCUUACUUUGAA